UGCUUUACACAUGCAAGUCGAACGGGGUUAGGGAGCUUGCUCUCUAACUUAGUGGCGAACGGGUGAGUAAUACAUCGGAACGUACCGUGUAGUGGGGGACAACGAGUCGAAAGAUUCGCUAAUACCGCAUAUUCUCUACGGAGGAAAGCAGGGGAUCGCAAGACCUUGUGCUAUACGAGCGGCCGAUGGCUGAUUAGCUAGUUGGUAGGGUAAAGGCCUACCAAGGCGACGAUCAGUAGCGGGUCUUAGAGGACGAUCCGCCACACUGGGACUGAGACACGGCCCAGACUCCUACGGGAGGCAGCAGUGGGGAAUCUUGGACAAUGGGCGAAAGCCUGAUCCAGCAAUGCCGCGUGCGUGAAGAAGGCCUUCGGGUUGUAAAGCGC
rnacentral:rRNA from 1 species